rnacentral:ncRNA from 1 species
UAGAAGCUCCGAUAAUUAAAUUUGGCGUUACACCGUCCAUUGUAUCCGGAUUUCCGGCUUUACCAAUACCUACGAUUUUACCAUCUUUAAUACCGAUAUCUGCUUUUACAAUCCCCCAGUGAUCGAUAAUAGUUGCUCCGGUAAUACAAAGAUCCAAUACACCUUCAUCUCUUUUAUUGGUAACAUUUUGCCCCAUACCGUCACGAAC